GUGCUCACCUCAGCAGCACAUACACUAAAAUUGGAAUGAUACAGAGAAGAUUAGCAUGGCCUCUGUGCAUGAUGACAUGCAAAUUUGUGAAGCGUUCUACAUUUUU
rnacentral:snRNA from 1 species